AGUCAUUUACCACUGCAGUGCAGAAACCGAAUCUUCAGCCCAUCUCGCAUGUGCUGAAACAUUAAUUUGCCCAGUCUCAUCGACCAGCAACUGGAUCAUAGCCCUCCAUAUCCCUCCCAUCCUUGGGCCUCUCGAAAUUUCUCUUAAGUGUUGAAAUCUAACCUACAUCCACCACGUAUGCUGGCAGCUCAUUCUACACUCACCAUCCUCUGAGUGAAGAACUUUCCCUUAAACAGUUCACCCUUAGCCCAUGAUCUCUAGUUGUAGUGACCUGACCUCAGUGGAGAAAGUCUGCUUGCAUUUACCCUAUCUAUACCGCUCCUAAUUUUGUAUGACUAUUAAAUCUCUCAAAUCUUCUAAACUCCAGGGAAUAAAGUUCUAACCUAUUCAACCUUUCCCUGCAACUCAGGUCUUCAAGUCCUGGUGACAUCCUUAUAAAUUUUCUCUGCACUCUGAUGUUAUUGAUAUCUCCCCUAUAAGUAGGUGACCAAAACUGGAUACAAUACUCCAAAUUAGGCCUCAACAUAGUUCUACAUAACUUCACCGUAACAUCCCAUCUCCUGUUGUCAAUAAUUUGAUAUAUGAAGGCCAAUGUGCCAAAAGCUGUCAUUAUGACCCUAUCUACUUGUGACACUACUUUCGGGAAUUAUGGAUCUGCAUUCCUAGAUCCCUCUGCUACAGUAUUCAGUGCCCUACAGCACACUCUGCAAGUCCUCCCCUGCUUUGUCCUUCCACUUCACACGUCUGCAUUAAAUUCCACUUGAUAUUUUUCACCCGGUUUUUCCAGCAGGUACAGAUACCACUGCAAGCCCUCUAUUUUUCUAAGCUCUAUGUACCUGUCCAGGAGUCUGUUAAAAGACCCUAUUGUAUUCACCUCCACCACCAUCACCGGCAGCCCAUUCCACGCUCUCAGCACUCUCUGCAUUAAAAAAAACUUACCCCUGACAUCUCCUCUAAACCUAAUUCUGAGCACCUUAAAACUCUGCCCUCUAAUGCUAGCCAUUUCAGCCCUGGGGAAAAGCCUCCAACUAUCCACACAUGCCUCUCAUCAUCUUAUUCACCUCUAUCAGGUUACCUCUCAUCCUCUGUCGCUCCAAGGAAAAAAGGCUGAGUUCACUCAACCUAUUCUCAUUGGGCAUGCUCCCCAAUCCAGGCAAUAUCCUUGUAAAUCUCCCCUGCACCCUUUCUAUUCAGAACUCCAUGCAAAUAUCUUCUGAAUAUUUGCCACAUUUCUUCCGCACAUUUCCCUGAGAUUAUCUGUUCCCAAUUUAUGCUUCCAAGUUCCUCCCUGAUAGCCUCAUAUUUCCCCUUACUCCAAUUAAACACUUUACUAACUUGUCUGUUCCUAUCACUCUCCAAUGCUAUGGUAGAGGAGAUAGAAUUGUGAUCACUAUCUUGAAAAUGCUCUCCCACUGAGAAAUCUGUCACCUGGCCAGGUUCAUUUCCAGAUAUCAAGUACAACCUCUCCUCUUGUAGGCUUAUCUACAUAUUGUGUCAAGGAACCUUCCUGAACACACCUAACAAACUCCACCUCAUCUAAAUCCCUCACUCUAGGGACAUGCCAAUCGAUAUUUGGGAAAUUAAAAUCUUCCACCAUGCCAACCCUGUUAUUAUUACUCAUUUCCAGAAUCUGUCUCCCUAUCUGCUCCUCAAUGUCCCUGUUACUAUUGGGUGGUCCAUAAAAAACACCCAGUAGAGUUAUUGACCCCUUCCUGUUCCUAACUUCCAUCCACAGAGACUUUGUAGACAAUCCCUCCACGUCUUCCUCCUGUUCUGCAACCAUGCACCAUCUCUGAUCAACAGUGCCACACCCCCACCUCUUUUGCCUCCCUCCCUGUCCUUCCUGAAACAUCUAAAGCCUGGCACUUGAAGUAACUAAUCAUGUCCCUGAGUCAUCCAAGUCUCUGUCAUGGCCACAACAUCAUAGCUCCAAGCACUGAUCCGCGCUCUAAGCUCAUUCACUUUGUUCAUGAUAUGCCUUGCAUUAAAAUAGACCCAUCUCAAACCAUCAGUCUGAGCGUCUCCCUUCUCUAUCACCUGCCUAUCCUCCCUCUCAUACUGUCUCCAAUCUUUCUCUAUUUGUGAGCCAACCGCCUCUUCCUUCGUCUCUUCAGUUUGGUUCCCACCCUCCCCCAGGAAUUCUAGUUUAAACUCUCCGCAAUACCCUUAGCAAAUCUCCCCACCAGGAUAUUGGUCCCCCUGGGAUUCAAGUACAACCCAUCCUUUUUUGUACAGGUCACACCUGCCCCAAAAGAGGUCCCAAUGAUCCAGAAAUCUGAAUCCCUGCCUCCUGCUCCAAUCCCUCAGCCACGCAUUUAUCGUCCACCUCAUUCUAUUCCUAUUCACACUGUCGCGUGGCACAGGCAGUAAUCCCGAGAUUGCUACCUUUGAGGUCCUGCUUUUCAACUUCCUUCCUAACUCCUUUCAAGACCUGCCAAAUUAGUUUAAACCCUCCCUAACAGCUCUAUUAAGCCUUCCCGCCAGGAUAUUGGUCCCCCUAGGAUUCAAGUGUAACCCGUCCUUUUUGUACAGGUCACACCUGCCCCAAAAGAAGUUCCAAUGAUCCAGAAACUUGAAUCCCUGCCCCUUGUUCUAAUCCCUUAGCCAUGCAUUUACCCUCCACCAAAUUCCAUUCCUACUCUCACUGUCGCUUGGCACAGGCAGUAAUCCUGAGAUUACUACCUUUGUGGUACUGCUUCUCAACUUCCUUCCUAACUCCCUGUAGUCUGCUUUCAGGACCUCCUCCCUUUUCCUACCUAUGUAAUUGGUACCAAUAUGUACCACGACCUCUGGCUGUUCUCCCUCCUGCUGCUGCUCUUGGACGCGAUCUGAAAUAUCUCGGACCCUGGGAGCUGGGAGGCCAACUGCCAGCUGUGCUUCUUUCCUGCGUCCAUGGAAUCGCCUGUCUGAUCCCCUAACUACAGAGUUCCCUACUGCCUUCCUCUUCCUUUCCCUACCCUUCUGAGCCACAGAGCCAGACUCUGUGCACUGUUGCUUCCCCCAGGUAGGCAUCCCCCCCCACCACCAACAGUACUCAAACAAGAGUGCUUACUGUUAAGGGGGACAGCCCCAGGGGUACUCUCUUGCAUCUGCCUCUUCCUUCUCCUGACUGUUGCCCACUUACCUGUCUUCCAAGGCCCCAGUGUGACUACCUACCUAUAACUCCUCUCUAUCACCUCCUCACUUCCCCUGACUAGACAAAGGUCAUCGAGCUGCAUCUUCAGUUCCCUAAUGCAGUUCCUAAGGAGUUUCAGCUCGAUACACCUGGUGCAGAUGUGGCCAUUUGGGAGGCUGUGACUCUGCAGGACCUCCCACAUUCGACACCCAGUGCAGAACACCAGCCUCAGACACAUACGUCCUGUCUGUAUUCUACACAGGCACCCUGCCUCGCCUCGACCUGUUAUUGCCGAAGCCCCGUUGAGCCAAAGCUUCCUACCCUGUCUCCCGCUCCUGCAGCACAUGCUCUAUAAAGCUGUCUCCUUUUAAACUCUUCUCGCUGUUCUCACUGGCUAUGUCGACAUGUUUGCACAGUUGUGUCCCGAUCAAACCGCUGAAGAAAUAACCAUCGACUUUACACUAUCUCUUCCAUCACCUUCCUCCUUCCCCAGCUGGGAUUUCCCAGUACUUACUUCCCAGUAAGUCAGUCUUACCGAAGUCCCGAUAGGAGAUCUGGAGAUCUGAAUGAAGGGAGUCAUGGUGAGUCAUUCACAGGUGCAUCCACAGUAGAGUUUCUAUAUUAUAUAUAUAUAUACAUACAUACACACACACACAUUUUUGAUAGAAAAACAUUAAAAAAGCAGGCCAUUCAUCCCCUUGUGAUUGCCCUACCACCCCAUCAGAUCAAUCGGACCUUCAGUCUCAGCAUCACUUUCCUGUCACUGCAUCUGUUUUGGUUCAGUUAGUAUCUAGAAAUCUUCCAUAUUUGUGAAUAGUGAAACUAUGUUUACAAGUCAGGUGGUCUGCAAGGACAAAAUUAACCCAAAUUGAACUAAUUCAGUGAAGAUCCUGGUGCUGGAUUGGUCAUCAAGUUUACGCGAGAGCACCAUUGGUUUUUUUUCCCGUAAGUACCUGGCGGAAACUGAAUGUCAAUGUAGUAUAUGGAAACAUAUACCAGUUUUGAACUAUUAAUUUAGCCUUGAUUUCAGUUGAAAUUUCCAGAAGCAAAACAAGAUUUUAGUAGAGUGAAUAACUAUGUAGACACCACGGCCAAGAAACCUUACCAAUGCCUCUGUAUCCUCAGGAGAAUGAAGAAAUCUGGCAGGUUCCCAUUGAUCCUUACCGAUUUUUAUUGAUGCAGCACGGCUUGGCAUAGCAACUACAGAGAGUUGUGGACUCGGCUCAAAACAUCAAGGGAACCAACCUCUAUGCACUGUCUGGAUUUCUUGCUGCCUAGGUUAAGUUGCCAGCGUAAUCAAAGACACCCCCUCCCACCCACCCAUCCAGGACUCCUCUCUUGUCCCCUCUGUUAUAAGACUAUCAAGUAAUUCCCUACUAUGAUAAGUUGGACUCUUGACCUCAAUGAUCUUGCACCUCAUCAUUUGCUUGCAUGGCACUCCCUCUAUAGCUGUUACAUUUUACUCUGCAUUGUUAUUGUUUUACCUCAAUGCUCUGUAUGAAGAGUAUGCAAGACAAGCUUCUCACUACAUGAGACAAUAAUGAACUAAUUCAUAUUGCGAGUGGAGUGGGAUAUUCACAAAAGAAGCACACGUGAGGAAGUGUAAAGUUCUCAGUUUUCAUUUUGAGUUGGGAUGAAACCCCAAGACUGGCCAUUCCAUUUUUGAGAUCCCUUCUGGUCUCGGUGAUUAGCUUACCUUCCAACUUUUGACAGGUGUCAACUGUUGAAACAGGAAGAGAUACAGAAAUAUGGUGAAGCCCUGUUCAACAGAAGCUGCAUCCCCAUUGUUUCCUGGGUCCAGGGUACCAUGUUCCACUUUCUAACCAAUUGCCUCUAUUUGAUGGGCCAUUUAUAUGAUCAAAGUCAACCAGAGAAUGGAACUUCUUCCAGGUACGUUUCGUUAGCGGGCAAUUGGAUGUCACCAUCUCACUUUGGGUCAUCUUACACCCUUCCAUUGGUGGAGAUGAUGCCCACAUUCUCCAUGGCAUCUGUGUGAGUGGUUUCAGACGAGGAUUUUCCAUUUGCCUUCAGGGGAGGUCCAAGGUGGGGACCUCCCUGGAGGGGCCAGAACCAAACUGUUUCCCUGCACCCACGGCCCAGAUGCUGGCCACCGUACCCAUGGCCCGGACGCUGGCCGCCAUUUUCCCGAGUGGCCGCACCCGCACCCCAUUUGCGGCGAGCUCCUUUACCAAAAUUCUUCCGAAGCUCUUCCACUUCUGAAAGAGAAGAGGAGAGGUUAAGCUUGCCGAAUUGCACCAAUUGCCUGAUGUCAAUGAAGUGCAGGGGGUUGGAGAGCAGAGACCUGGGUCACUGAUGUGGGGAGACAAAGAGUUCAAAUCCCAACAUGGCAGAUCGAGUCUUUAUAACCCAGUAAUUAAUGAAAACAGGAAGAACUAGCCUCAGCAAUAACCAUCGGACUGUUCUCAAGACCCGUCUGGUUUGCUAUAUCCCACAGCGAAGGAAACAUUACAUCCUUAUUUAACCUUAACAGGAGCCUGUUCGACUCUGAGCAGCCCAUCCAAGAUCUGGUGCUCGUGGAUGGACACUCAGUGCUGGCCUGGGACUUCCCGGGGUAAUGAAAGGAUCAAAUGUCCUUAAGUCGACUUCAUCUGCAAGUUGGAAUACACACAAGUCACUGGAUAAGAUGAACAUUCCUCUACGCUGUAAUGUUACAUCAGAAUCAGCGAGACUGACAAGAAAGAACAAAUGCUACAAGGAGAGGGGGAGAAUGAAUAUUCUGUUAAUAGAAACUAAUGUCGAAUAUCCAAACCAGCUAUGGGAACUUAAUAAUAUUAGAGGAGCUUGUUUGUAACCGAGGAACACCCUGUAUUGCUACCAGUGUCCACGUUCCUGGUGCUGAAUAAAUAACCUAGGGAACCUCGGGAGAAAGAUUUGAUGCUGAUCACUCUGCUCCCGGGAUUGCUGUCCCCUAUGGGCAAAUGUUUCCUUGGUUGGAUUUUGAAUGGAUCACUGGGGUUCAAUAACACUGAAAGGAAUAGUCUUGACCUACCUUGUUCGAGAUUAGACUCUGGGGUUCAAGACCAAAGGCAGAAAAGGGAGAGAAUGUGACUAUGACGUAUAUUAUCUUGAGCAAUAAUGAAUAAUAUUUUUAAAAAAACUCCCGUUCCUAUACACAUUUUACAGUUAUCUGCCCCAUCAACCCAGGUGCCACAUUGCAGUCUGUCUGAUAGUCGUACAGCACAGAACGAGGCUUUUCGGCCCAUCUGGACCAUACCAGCCAAGAUGCCGAUCUGAGCCAGUUCCACUUGAGGAACGUUAGAGGAGUGGGAAGCUUUAGAAACCAACAGAAGACAGCUAAAAAAUCCACAAGGGGGAUUUGUUAGCUAGCUAAUAAUAUCAAAGAGGAUACCAAAAGUUUUUUCAGAUAGAGUAAAAGAGAGGUGAGAGUAGACAUAGGAUGGUGGGAAAACAAUGCCAGAGAGGUAGUAAUGGGGUCAACAAAAUGGCAGAUGAACUGAAUAAGUACUUUGCAUCAGUCUUCACUGUGGAAGACCCUCGCAGUAUAGUGGAAGUUCAAGAAUGUCGGGGUAGAAAUGUGUGCUGUUGCUCCUUGUAGGGAGAAGGUCCUUGGGAAACUGAAAGUAGAUAAGUCAUCUGGACUAGAUGGACUACAUCCCAGGGUUCUGAAAGAUAGCUGAAGAGAUUGUGGAGUCAUUAGUAAUGAUCUUUUAAGAACCAUUGGAUUUUGCCAUUGCCCGAAGAGAUUGUGGAGUCAUUAGUAAUGAUCUUUUAAGAACCAUUGGAUUUUGCCAUUGCCCAGAGAAAUUCUGGAUGUCACUCCACUCUUCAAGAAGGGAGGGAAGCAGAAAAAAGGAAAUUAUUGGCCAGUUAGCUUGACCUCAGUGGUUACAAAGAAGUUGGAGUCAAUUGCCGAGGGUGAGGUUUUAGGGUACUUGGAAGCCCCUUGUGAGAUAGGCCAAAUCCAGCAUGCUUUCCUUAAUUGAAAAUCUUGCCUGACAAAUCUGCUGGAAUUCUUUGAGGAAAUAAGCAAUACAGACAAAAGAGAAUCAGUAGAUGUUGAGUACUUGGAUUUUCAGAAGCCCUUUGACAAAGUACCAUGAGAUUGCUUAACAAGUUAAGAGCCCAUGAUAUUAAAGGAAAGAUACUGGCAUGAAUAGAGCUUUGGCUGAUUGGCAGGAGGCAAGCAGGGAGCCUCUUCUGUUUGGCUGCCUCGGGAUCUGUAUUGGGAUCACUUUGUUUUGUCUUGUAUGCCAAUGAUUUGGAUGGUGGAAUUGAUGGCUUUGUGGCCAGGUUUGCAGAUGAUAUGAAGGUAGGUGGAGGGGCAGGUGGUGUUGAGGAAGCAGGAAGACUGUAGAAGUGCUCAGAUUAGAAAAGGAAAUUAAGUGGCAGAUGGAGUACAGUGUUGGAAAGUGCAUUGUCAUGCAGUUUGGUAGAAGGAAAAUAAAAAUCAGACCAUUUUCUAAAUGGGGAGAUAAUUCAAAAAUCUGAGGUGCAAGCAGAUUAGGGAAUCCUUGUGCAGUAUUCUCCAAAGGUUAACUUGAGGGCUGAGUUAGUGAUGAGGAAGGCAAAUGCAAUGUUAGCAUUCAAUUCCAGAGGACUAGAAUAUAACAGCAAGGCUUUAUAAAGCACUGGUAAGGCCUCACUUGGAGUAUUGUGAGCAGUUUUAGGCUCCUCAUCUAGGAAAGGUAAUGUUAAUAUUGGAAAGGGUUGAAAAGAGAUUCACAAAAAUGAUUCUGUGAAUGAACGGCUCAUCAUAUGAAAAGCUUUCGAUGGCUCUGGGCCUGCACACACUGGAGAAUGAGGGGGGAAACUCAGUGAAACCCACUGAACGUUGAGAGGCCUAGACAGAGUGGAUGUGGAGGGGAUGCUUCCUAUAGUGGGGGAGCCUUGGACCAGAGGGUAUAACCUCAGAUUAGCGGGAUGUCCACUUAGAAUGGAAUUUCUUUAGCUAGAUGGUGAUGAAUCGCUGGUCACUGGGAGCUUGAUAGAUUCUUGAUAAGUCAGGGCAUGAAAGAUUAUGGGGAGAAGGCUGGAAGGGCCGAAUGGCCUAACUCUGCUCCUAUCUCUUUUUGCCAGCUUAGUCUGCAUAGAUACUACCUGCUGGAUUUAAAAAGUUGCUCCUCAAAUUCCAAAUACAUUUCUCUCCUCUCACCCUUUGGAUAUUUCCCUUGCAACACAUUUAAUUCACUAUGGGCUUCGAUGUAACCGAGUAGAAUAAUUCAUUUUCCAGUGAGCCUGCUAUGAUGAAAGGGUGCAUGGGGAACAAAGCACUGGUUAUUGGAACUAGAAUUGGUCACGUACUGAGAUACGGCGAAAAAAACUUGUUUGGCUGGAGAUACCAGAGCUUGGACACACCAGGCACCAGGCUCAUGAACUGCUUUUAUCCUGCAGACAUCAAACUGUGGACUGGACCUCUUUUACCAUACAGAUGAACUUCUAAUCUCUCAAUCUACUGAACCUUGGCGUGGCUCCUGCAUCUUAUUAUUUACAUGCACUGCAGUCUCUCUGUAACCGUGAAGCGAUAUUCAGCAUUUUGUCAUUGCAUUUCCUUUUGUACUACCUCAAUGUACAGCAUACACUUUCUGAAAUUAUCUGUAUGGCUGGCAUGCAAAGUAAAACUUCACUCUACCUUUGUACGUGUGACUAUAAUAAACCAGUAACACUGAGGUUGUACAAAGAGAAAUGUAAUGACAAAAUGCUGAAUAUAGUGUUACAGUUGCAGAGAGAUUGCAGUUCCCAAUUGCCAGUUGGGAAUCUCAGUUCCCAAAGUCCAUCAUCCUGCUGAUGGACUUGGAGUAUGAUGGGAGAUCUUCUGACACCAAUAUAGAAGAACAUUCGUCAACGUUAAUAUAACUGCACAUCUUAUUGUAAAGUUUGUAGCAAGAAAGAGUAAUAUCUGAUUUUGCCUUACUCAGAGCAUCGGUGGCAGUGCAACCUGGAAGCAGAGAAAAGUAGUACAAAUAUUAAUCUUGGAAGUUAGAAGUUAGAUUGUCAUUAUCCUGAGGGAAGUCUAAAUCCAACCCAGGAAACUGCAGGUUUGGCUGAAGUCUAAUUGAGCUUCUAAAUUGAGCAUCUAACAAAGUCAAGAGAGAUUGGGUUUGGACCAGUUGACCCUCUGCCUCCAUUGCACACUGUCCACAAUGGUCACCAGUGGAUUCCCAGUAGUGACCCUAUUCAAUGCCACUCCCCAUUCCCACUCUGGUCUGAUGUCCUCAGCCUUCUCCACCAUAAGCACAAAGCCAAAUGCCAACUAGAGGAAUAGCACCUCAUAAUCCACCUAGGUAGUCUGCAACUCAAUGCAGGAGCAUGGGUUAAGUCCAUAAGACAUAGGAGCACAAUCAGGCCAUUUGACCCAUCUUUUCUGCCCUGUCAUUCAAUUAUGGCUGAUUUAUUUUCCUUCUCAACCUCAUUUUUCUGUCUUGACACCCUGACUAAUCAAAAACACUAUCAACUUCCACUUUAAGUAUACCUAAUGAUUUGUCCUUCACUGAUGUCUAUAGCGAUGAAUUCCAUAGAUCAACUAGCCUCUGGCUAAAGAAAUUCCUCCUUUUCUCUGUUCUAAAUGGUCUCCCUUCUAUUCUGAGGCUGGGCCCUCUGGUCCUAGGCUUUCUCUCACUAAUGGAAACAUUCAUUUUAUCUAGGCCUUUCUACAAACAAUAGUUUUCUUCUAAACUCCAGCAAGCACAGGCCUGGAGCCAUCAAGUUGUCCUUGCAUGAGAAUCAUUUCUUCUGUGUACCAUACUCGUAAACCUCCUCUGGACCCUGUCUCGUGCCAGCACACCCUUCCUUAGGUAAGGGGCCCAGUGUGCUCCGAGUUUUAUUUGCUUAUGCAUCUGAGAUGCAGCAGUCAAUGUCUGACAAACACUUAAAUCUCAGCAUUUCAUAGUUGCUUUUAUAUUCUAGUCCUCUCCAAACUUUGCACUUGCCUUUUUCACCACUGACUCAACCUGCAGCUCAACUUUAGGUCCAAAUCCCAUUGCACCUGCAAUUUCUGAAUUUCUUCUCCGUGUAGGAAAUAAAAACUCUCAAGUUCCAGGUAAGUAGCACCCCUUCUGUUCCUUUUGCUCUUCUUCUGAUCUAGUUAACCCCUUUCACACGCUCAUUUUUUUUCUUAUUCCAAACCCCUCAGCCCCACUUUCACCCUGUCCUUCCAGCAAAGUGGCUCAACCCACUAAGUUUCCUCUACCCUUUCGGUCUUUGCUCCACGAUAUUCCCUCCCGAGUCUGGGUUCAUUCAUAUGUAAUGGAGAUGCUUGCUCCAUCCAUUGUGACGAGAUUUGAAGGAUUGCCGUAUUCUAGGUGGACUGUUCCUUUAAAAAGAGAGAGAGGGAGCCAACAGCACGUGUGCUAUUUCAGCAACAGAGGGAAAGUCUGAGUUGCCUUGGAAACUGAAAGGCGGAGCUAUAUGAUGGACAGCUAGUGUUCAGCGCUUGUGGAAUAUAUACAAGGUCAGUUGGCUUUGUAAUCAGACACGCCAGACACCAAGGAAGACACUGGUUGAGCUUUGUGUGGCCAUGCCAAAGGUGGGGUUUUUGCUUACAGUGUGGACAAAGUGGGUGACCGGUGGAACGCGAUUGGCGUCCUUAACCCUUGCCCGGGUUGAUAGCGGUACCGUGUGAAGAUGGCAUCCUCUUUUUGUGGUCACAGUCGGUGACUAAGUUUUGGGAGCAGGAGGACAAUGUGGAGGAUGGACAGCAUCGGCGCUGGGAAGACAAAACAUCUCUAAACUCUACUCAAAUCAAAUUCCGGAACUGGACUGACUACUUACCAUACCACUGUAAGACUGUAUCAUCUAAUCACCUGAGCUGGGAGAAGCUUGGGAACUUUAUUUACUCACUUAUAUAUGCAUAUACUCUGCUAACCUGUUUAAUCUUGUUUUAUAUUACUUUAUCACGUAGUUACUAAUAAAAUAGAGUUUAUAAUGGAA